rnacentral:rRNA from 1 species
UACGGAGGAUGCAAGCGUUAUCCGGAAUUAUUGGGCGUAAAGCGUCCGCAGGUGGCACUUCAAGUCUGCUGUCAAAGGUCGGGGCUUAACCCCGAGAAGGCAGUGGAAACUGAAGAGCUAGAGUAUCGUAGGGGUAGAGGGAAUUCCUGGUGUAGCGGUGAAAUGCGUAGAGAUCAGGAAGAACAUCGGUGGCGAAAGCGCUCUACUGGACGAUAACUGACACUCAGGGACGAAAGCUAGGGGAGCGAAUGGG